CCAUGGGAAAGAGAAAAGGUUCUCUUCUGUCUGGAAGUGUCAUCGAGGGUCACUUCUCUAUUUAUUCCUGGCUCGCUGUGUUUCUCCCUUGCCGAGAGCGAGAUUGCGGGCAGCGCUGCGGUCUGGCACGGCGCUGGCAGCGGAGCCGUGCCGUGAUUCAGUCUCUCACAAGGUCACGCGGUGAAUCGCUGCUGCUGCCAAGAAUAGCACCCCGAGUCUCUUGGCUCUCUCAAGCCCACCCUCGACACUCCAGCCUCCUUCCCUCGGGUUAUGAAGCUUUCUGCAGCAAGACUUGAAGCAGCCAGAUUCCAGCUUACAUCAAAGCCCCUGGGAUUCACUUGUGAUUUCUGGAUGGAGUACGGCGAGUUGCAAAGCGUGGUGGGAGCAGACAAUGCUUGUGCUGACAGCAGAGGUUGAACUGUCAUGGAAAAGAUGAGCAAGCCAGUUCCACAUCAGCUUUCUUUUCUGAGACCUGUUUCUCCAGCUCAGGAAGGCCAGAGGAGUGACCCCCUCACAGCGAGCUCCAGCUGCAAGCACUGGAGCUCGGGACGUGCCUGGACUUGUCCCCACGUGCCCAGCUGUGACCACAGAGCAUACAUCCGUGUUCUUGCUGCUGCCUCCUGUAGCACAUUCCAUGCUUUGGUCUUCCCAUCCCUGCCUGGGCUCUCUUCUGCAGGCAGCUGCUGGGGGUCAGCAGAUGUAUGAGACAGGUAGACUCACUUCUGGCUGACAGCACUUCCCAAAGACUCAGUCUCCAGUCCUGGGAGCAUGGCCAUGGUGUGGGGAAUAAUACCCAAAUUUGUGAUGCUGAGAAGGUAAAGCUGCAGCAUGAGCCCACCUGGAAUCCUUGUUGUGGGAAAAAUGCACCAGGAGCAACCACGGACGGGCAGGUUCACCAGCACUCCAGUGCUCUGUCUGCUUGUGUGUCUAUUUGUGUGUCUCAUGAUUUUCAGGUUGUUUUUCGUAUCCUGACACAACUGAAAAGUCAGCCUUUUUCAGAAAAGUGUAGAGUCUAAUGAGCACAGUGUGUUUGAAAACCUCAGCUGUUCCCAGGACACAGGUGAGUGAUGCAAACAUGGCACAAGCAGGUGACACGUGGAGAUGGGCAUCUUGGAAAGAAAACAUCAGAGGACUCACACAGUGACUGGGGUGGGCAAUUCACAGGGCCAGGGAGCUGGAGAUGUGUGCAAAGCACCCUGUUCUUCACUCGGUGCCACUGAGCUUCAGUUCACUAAGAAAGCACCUGGAAAAAUUACCCAGAAAUAGAUGACCUUUCAAAAGGCCUCUAAUAUACAAUUACCUGGUGUUCACUGAAGUGGUUCACGUGCUUCCCACUCUAAAUGAUUUUCUAGGUUCACCCAUGUGUGAAAAGGGGUCUGAUUUUAUGGAGGAGGGCAGUGGAGGAAAGAAACUUCAGAAAGGAGAAAAACACGCCAGGGAAUGUUACUGGUUGUUUGCUUCAAGGGAAGAAAAGGGCAAAUAGAUGCAGCCACCUCAAAGUCACCUUUUGACUUUGAACUUUAAAAGAAAGGAGCAUGGGAGAACUGUGAGGUAUUGACAGCACUUGACAGAAGCUGUUCCAUGGAGAUAGGUAGGAAAUUUAGGAUCCAGUGGAAUUUGCUUUCUUAGCCAGAUGACAAGUUCUUUUUUCCCCCACAGUACAACAAAAUUAUUACAACUGCUGUUUUCCUUACUGCCUUUUCUUUCCUUCUGCCCUGGGUCAUCUGGCACAGGAGAUCCCUUGCCUGUGUGGCCACCAGUGCUCACACCAGGGCUGCCCAUGCCCCCUCUGCAGAGUUUCAGCUCUGGUCCUGGACCAAAGCAAGCGACCUGUCUGGGGCUGCAAUCUAUAGUGGGCUUUAGGCAAAAUGCUUUUCUAAGGAAGUUAUUUCUAUGGUUGGAACAAAAGUGCCUCUCCCCUGCACCUUUCCAGUGGCAGCUGUGCCCAGGUGCACACAGCAGUCUGGCUUCAAUAGUUCAGUGUUCUCUUCACUGCCCUGUCCCCCAGCAACACAGGGGGAAGGGGGCAGAGACCACCCCCACGUGGGAAAGGAGCAGCGCUCAAAAACCCAAAGACUUCUUGAAACCAGGGAAUGGCAUUCCCACAUAUGAUGAGAGAGCACACUGGGCAAUAGAAACUAUGUUUGUAUGGAAGAAAAUUAUUUUAAAUAACCUUGGAAUGUAAAGAUUUUCAUGAACAAAAGCAUAUGACAGUCCCCUCUCCCAUCUGCAUUAUCUGACAAAACAGAGUCCCUGAGACAGGUCAGACAGAAAACGAGCAUCAACGUGGCACUUGUAGCACUGAAGCACUUUUCAUUUGGUCAAGUAUCGAAGCAUCUUUGUGGGGGAAAAAAUCCAAAGUUGAGCUUUGGAUCCAAAGCAUUAGACUUGCAAUUCCACAGAAUUUUGUGACUUUGGAAAUGUUCUGUUGUUUUUCAGUAUGAGUUUAUGAACCUGGAAUGAAAUUGUCCUUUGAGGACAAAACAAAAUAGAUGAAAAAUAAAGGCUCAUGUCAGGUCUGGAGACCAAGGGGGUCCUGAGCCAUGGUUUCUUUUCCAUCAGGUUCAGGAGCAACUUUGAGAAGGAUUUGCUGCAGUUGAGGGAGACAGAAAAAAAAAAUCAUAUUAAAAAUAAAAGAAGAACCCUGAAUAAGAUUUUUCAAAAAGCCAUUUAUGUCUUCUAUAAGGCAUCCAGAUGCAAAAGUGAAUGGUGAGUCAGGAGUGCACUCAGGCACAUGGUUCCAGCAGCAGCUCCCAGGCUCCUCUGACUGUGGCUCUGCUGGAAGGCAGACCAACUUGAGCUCACAGCAGCAUAAUUGUGGGAUGAUGUGGAGCUCCUCAUGCUUCUGCCUCCUCCUUUUGGAGGCCACACAAAGUGCACAUGUUGUGUUCCUGAAUUCAUGCCUCUUCUGGCGAUCUGUUUGCCUGAUCCAUAAAUUUCUGUGUCCAUCUCCAGGGCCCAGAGCUCUGCCAAGCUGCAGCAGCUUGCUGAGACCGUGGGCAGGUGCCUCAGCUCCCCGCAGCGACUGCGCCGAGGGUCAGGAGUGCAGCCACACACAGCUGCACUGCCCGUGCUCUGAGGGCACUGUGCUGAGGAGCUGACCAUGGCAGCGAGACUGAAAGAUGUGAGAGUUCUCCUGCAGCCUGCUUUUAACUCUCUGUGGCCCUGUUUGAGAACGAGCUGUAGUCACUACAUGCCUUUAGCUUGAACUUGUACUUCAUCAGUCUGGGAGGAAGAAUGGAAGAAAUGUUCUGAGAGAAAAUUCCAUUUAUGUCUUCUACCACCUGCUAAUGGCAUAUGUGAGCUGCUGCAUGCCAGUAGCUGAUGGCAAAGAUAACAUCAGUGUGGAGAAAAUUGUGCAGUGCUGAAAAUGAGACUCAUGUUCCAGAUGACCCGAUAGUUCAGUGCCUGCUGGGGCCAGGUGUGGGGCUGAGCUCUGCUCAACACUCACACAGACACACAGUGUGAUGGCCUUGCUGGAAUCCCAGAAAUCAAAUUUUUUAGGGCAGGCAAAAGGACAAAAGCUGAAAAGCUUCUCUUCACAUCCAGCCCCAAAUCAGGUUUUGCUGCCUAUACCUCCAGCCUAGUUAGUAUGAGCCAGGGUGAGGGAGGCUGACAGGUGGGAGCAGCUGCCAAAAUGCCUGGUGAAGCUGCUGGUCUGAAAACUGACUUAAUGGCAGAGUAGACAUAUUGGGCAGCUCUUCAGAAGUAAACAUCCAUUGACAGUACAAUCAUAGAAAUAUUUGAGGCACUCAACAGCAAAAUCCUUGUUGCUUUUCACCCUCGUGCCACCUGGAGUUUUUGCUCAGUGAGGGAAUUCAUGGUGUUUUGUGUGAACCGAGAGGUAAUCUACUUAAAUAGCCCUAAUUAUGUUUAGAGAAGGCUGGUCCCUGAGCUAGGAUCUGUGAAUAAACAUAUUGACACAGGUGACCACCUGAUCUAUGCAUAUGGAUCUAAAAAAAGCCACUUUGCUAAGUUUAAAUACCUCAAAGUGAAGCUGAACAGACACCAGACGCCAGCAGCUGUGCCUGCCCAAAGCAGCAGGGCAAGGGGCUCAGCAGGGCAGUGUGGCCACAGCACGUCCUGCCUGCCUCAGGUGUCCUCCUGAGGGACCAGGGCCUUUAAAUACCAGCCUUUAAAUACCCUGUGGACAGACAAAGGUAAAGGGACUGGGCCCCCUAAAUGGGGGAUGGACAAGCCCGGAGGCUUACCUUGCUUAAUCCUUGGGCAAACAUGCUCAGUGUCUGCUGAGUCCAGCAGCUGAUCCCACCUGUGCCAGCACUGCCCUGCACAGCUGGCCCGGGGCUCCCAGGGGACAGAGAGCACCUGCCCCCAGCCUGGAGUUCCCUGGGAAUGGAGAGAGCCCCCUCCCCGCCUGGAGUUCCCAGGGGACAGUGGGCUUCCAGCUUGGCAGUGGCCCUUAGCAGUCAGAAAUUUUGGAAGAGAAAGUCUGUGAGAGAGAAGACAAAUGUGAAGCUGUUGAACAUGUUCAGCCCUUCAGUGCAGGGCUUGAAGAGCUCCCAGUGACAGCUGAGAUAAGGCCAGCCUGCUGGUGAGCCCCAAGCUGCCCCUGCCCCAACAGCCUCCUCCUCCUCCUGCAGUGAGCACCCAGCUGCACCCCCCCGUUAACCGUGUCUAGAGUCAGCACAGCUUAACAGCACAGAAUUAUAACACCCUAUGACAUGGAAAUGGGUCAGAAACAAACUCUGUGUCUUUCUGUAUUAACACAGGUGCCACUCCUGGCUUGGAGGGUUUCACAGCCCUGAGAUUUUGCUGCUUAUGACUUGAAGCAACCAGCAUCACCUCGGGUUAUAGGCAGAAAAGUUGCAUUGAACCACAUUGCCUCUCUGCUAGACAAACUGCAGAAAGAUAACUCACUCCCAGAACGUCAGGGUUUUCUGGGCACCUUCCAAACAAUCGCUGCAUUUCAUGCUUCAAUGCCUAUCAGUGAAUUUCCAGUACAAAAUGUGAACAGAGACAACCAGAAAUCAACGUCUGGUGUUCCCUUUGCACCUCCCCAGAAGGGAGGGCUGUUGGCAUCAUAUCUUCAAUCCCACAGCCCCAGAAGACACAGGAGUGCUUUUCCCACUGGCUACAUGCUCAGCUGAGGUGCAAGUCACGCCUGGUUCCUGUUCCUGAGCAAGCCAUGGAGACCAGAGCUGCCCAGCAGGGAGGGAAAGCCCAGCUUGGUGCCCUUGCCUGCUGCUGGAAGUGCUCUCUGCUGUGUUUCCCUGCGAGGGAGUUAGUGCACAUCUCUCCACACAUCGUCAGAGGCACACAGAAACUCUCAUCCCCGGCCUGCAGAACACAGGUGAAGGCUGUUUCCCAAAGGCUCUAAGGCUUCUCCUAAAAUCAGGGGUCCCCAGAAUAUGUUUAUUUUCUCCUACAAAGAAAAGGUCUUUCAGGGAACCUUCUCUGAACAAGAACCUCCUCCAAAGCAGGAGGGCAGCUGCAGAGAGGGUGCCGUGGGGUACAGGCAGCUCAGAGCUGCUGCUCUCAGCUGCACCCACAGCGCCCCACGGGCAGGAGCUCAGCUCCCCUGCUGCCUCUGGGACAGCCUAACACACGGGCUUAGUCUGCUGUGACAGAAUCGCUGCCCUGCACGUGCCAUGCGUGUACCUCACAGGAAACGGAGAGAUUCCUUGCCAAAGGGAGCUCUGAGCUCCCCGUGCAAAGCCCCAGCAGCCAUCCCUGCUGGCACACCUGCAGUGGAAGGGCUGACUUGCUCUCACUGCUGCAUUUCAGCAGCAUUCCUGAGCAGGUGGCCAGGCCUGGCUCCAUGUGAGGUUAAAGACAUUACCUCUGCAAUGGCAGAUUUUAGGCUGGGAUUCUACAUUUUUCUCCUGCAGAGGUCUCUGUCACUGCAAAACAAAAUAAUAGCACCCAAAGCCAUGUUAAGUCAUUGUAGUGAUUCCAAAAUCCUUUAUUCCCCUGGCUAAUUAAAAAAGUUCCAAGCUCGAUUCCAGGUCUUACAACUGUGAAUUUUGUAUUUGCAGUGGUGAAAUUCCCCUCUUCUUUUUAUCCACAGAUGGUCAUGAUUAUAUGUUUUUGUUCAAUAAUUAAUCAUUCUUGUGUCAUGUUGACUUGGUUUGGGGAUUUAAAUUGCAUGCCUCACUGAAGGGAAUCUGUAAUUGAGAUACAAAUCUGAGCACCUGUGAAAGACUUCAAGUUUUGUGUUCAUGCCUAAGUAUAAAUUCUUAAAUGUAUGUUUUACUACUUUAAAAGCAUCUACACAGGAUGUCAGUGGAAGCUGAUCUGUCAUCACUCUGUUGUCAGCAGACCCACUGGGUUCUGACAGCUGAACAGAGGCCAUUAAUUGAAACUGCUGGGUUUUGUCAGACCCGUGACAUGCUCCCUAGAUAAUUCAGUCUUAUGCAUUUCAAGCGUUUGCAGCAGGAGCAAGACUAAAUCUUUCAAUUUCCCUGCUCCAUUCUAUGCCUCUGUUUCUAAGAAAGAGGAUUUAUUCCUGCAGCAAUAACCCUUGCAUUUUGAAGUGAGGGUGUUGGUGUAACUUGGUUCUGCAUUGAGAAGUGCCAGGGUUUGUGAUGACUCCUCAGAGGGAAGCUGUGCAAAGGUUCUGGCAGUGACUCCCCACCCUCAGGAAGGUUACAGGGGAUAAUGCCACAAGCUUUGCAGGAAUAAAGAGCUUUUUCUGACUGUUCUAAGAAGGUUCUUUGCUAGAAUAAGCAAACAAGAAGUGGACCUGACUUCAGGUCCCUCUGCUCCCACAGCUAUCCUCACUGGAGUUGGCAACUGCUCCUGGGGAGAUAUGGCUCUCAGCCAGUCAUCCUUAAAGGAGAAGUGUUAGUUUUGCAUGUAACUAUGACCUAUUUUAAAAUUUUUGCUCUAUAUACAAAUUCACUCUUUAUAACACAUCCAUGGAAUGCAUAUGAUGGAGAGCCAGUGGUCAGCCCUUAGACUCAUGUUUAGAAAACACCACCUUUGUUUGUUUUACAUGUUUAUAAUUGUCUCUGGCUAUAUCAUCGUUUGUGAAUUUCCACAGUAGCUUUCAAAGUGAUGUUGGUUUGUCUGGAUAGUAACAUUGCUAAAAGGCACUUAAAAUGUCAAAUACAAGAACAGUUGUUUGCUUCUUCUUGCUACUACAACCUACCACAGAUGUAAAUCAUGACCCAUAUUGCUACAGCUUCUGGAAUCAAAGUAAAGCCAAACAAUAUAUAGCCCAGCACAGAUAUAUUCCCUAAUGACACACAAGUGUGGUGCUCCAGCCCCCCCUUUUAUAGGAGAAAAGGAGGAUAUAUGAUGAGAGGUUAGUGCCAACUUCUCACUUCCUCGGUGGUGACUGCAGUUUUGUAUGGGACAAUCUGCUCCUUCCAUGCAUUGCUCAGAGGUGGAUCCUGUUCAGAAACCCCUUCUCUGCCCCCGUGCAGCAGAGGGCUAUGCCACCUUCACGUGGAACCAUGUUCAACUGGAAUGUCACAGAUUUGCCUCUGGGGCCAGCCUGAGCUGCAACGGAGCACGGAGAAGACAGGUUUCAGGUCAGAGAGCAGAACAAGCAUGGUCUUAUCCCGGUGCCAGUUCCUGCACAUUGCAGUCACCGCCAGGCAUGGCCCUGCUCUGGGAAGGGACGGAGAACAAACUGCAGGGAACAAACAGGCACAGGCAGCUCCAGAAGCAGCACUUCAGAAACAGUUCAUGGUAUGGAAGAGAUGGCAUAUUUCUUUUUACAAUGGGGUGAAAAAUGGUGUUUAAGGCCUGGUUCUGCAAAGUACACUGGAAGAAAACAGGCUCCAAAACCAGACCUCUGAAAAUGGUUUGAAUUUGCAAACCCGAUACACACUGAGAUCACUUCUUCAGCAUUAAUGAAGUGAGAACAGGAGAACCACAAGGAAAGCCACUAAGGAUCUCACUGCCACUGAAACCUGUGGGGAUGCUCCCAGCGAAGUGUGUAAUGGUGAAGGUGACCUGCCUGCCCCAUCUGUCCUGUCCAGGUCUGAAAUCCAGGCACACGGACACCAGGAGGGUGCCACAGCGCUGGCGCUCGCACACACCGACAGAAGGCGUGUGGGAAUUCCUUUUAACUACCUGUGGCCAAUGUUUUUCUUGAAGGAAAAAAAGGAAUAUGUACAUGCUUGGCACUUAAUAAAAAUAUCAGUGUAUUUG